UACGGAGGGUGCAAGCGUUAUCCGGAUUCACUGGGUUUAAAGGGUGCGUAGGUGGGUUUGUAAGUCAGUGGUGAAAUCUCCAAGCUUAACUUGGAACUGCCGUUGAUACUAUAAAUCUUGAAUGUUGUGGAGGUGAGCGGAAUAUGUCAUGUAGCGGUGAAAUGCUUAGAUGAUGAACAUAGUAACACCAAUUGCGAAGGCAGCUCAC
rnacentral:rRNA from 1 species